CGUAGGAGAGCAGACACGAGGACAUGAGCCAGUUCUGCUGAGCUGUUACUGUAUACCUGCUUUCCCACAACAGCAAGGAAGAACCAUGGCCCAGGGGUCACUGUCAUUCGGGGACGUGGCUGUGGGCUUCACCCGGAAAGAGUGGCAGCAGCUGGACCUGGAGCAGAGGACCCUGUACCAGGAUGUGAUGCUGGAGAACUACAGCCACCUGCUCUCUGUGGGCUGAACUGUCUGCUUGCUUGGAAGGCCCAGCUGGCUCAGCACAAAUCCUUUAACCGUUUCUCCCCAAGAGGGUGUCAAGUCAGCAAACCAGCUGUGAUCUCCAGUUUGGAGCAGGGGAAGGAGCCAUGGAUGGAGGAGGAAGAGAUAAGGACGUGGAGCUUCCCAGAAGAAGUUUGGCAAGUUGCUACCCAGCCAGAUAGCCAACAGCAACACGAAGACCAACAUUUGAGCCAUACGUUUCUAGACAAGAAAGACUGGACCGGAAAUGAGCUUCAUGAAUGUAACGAACUUGGAAAAAAACUCCAUCAGAACCCAAACCUCCUUCCAUCAAAACAGCAGGUCCGCACACGUGACUUGUGCAGAAAGAGUUUGAUGUGUAACCUGGACUUCACUCCUAACGCCUACCUGGCGAGGAGGAGAUUUCAGUGCGACGGCCACGGAAACUUCUUCUCUGUUCGAAACUUGAAACUCCACCUUCAGGAGCGAAUCCACGCGGAGGUCACCAGUGUGGAAGUGCUUUAAGCUGUGACGAGGGAGUUCCUGCAGCUCAGGGAGCCAGUAGUGAGAAACCCCACGAAUGCACGAAGUGUGGGAAAGCCUUGUGCUGCAGAUCGGACCUCAGGGUACAUCACGGGGUCCACGCGGGGGAGAAGUCCUCUGCGUGCAGUGAACGGGGGAGUGGUUUCAGGGAGAAGCUUUGCCCUGACAAACAGGGAACUCACACAAAGGAGAAACCCGCUAGAGACAGCAGAAGUGGUAAAACGAUCUUCCGGAAGACACGCCUGUGUGUCCCGGGCACAGUUCACGCCGGAGCGAAGCCUUACAAGUGUUGGGAGUGUGAGAAAACCUCCCACAAGUCGCGCCUCAUCGAGCACCUUCGCUCCCACACGGGGGAGAAGCCCUGCGGCUGCAGGGAAUGCGGAAAGGCCUUUUUCCAGAAGUCACACCUCAUCCUGCGUCAGAGGACUCACACGGGGGAGAAGCCCUGCGACUGCGCGGAGUGCGGGAAAGCUGCUCCCAGGACUCCUGCCUCCUGACCCACAGGCGGACUCGCGGGGAAGAAACCGUACGAGUGCUCCGACUGCGGGAAGACCUCCCGGAAGGCGAACCUCAUCCGCCACCACGGGAUCCACACGAGGGAGAAGCUGCAUGGGUGAAGAGACCGUGGGAUCGUCACAAAGUCACAUCACGAGGUCGCCGAACCUCUAGGAGGGACAUCGCCAGGGAAACAGCCCUCAACCAAAACUACGACGCCACCCUAGGCAGAGGUCCCAUAUCGGGGUGAAAUUCGGCCACUUUGGUGGCUUAAGGAAGGCAUGGUCAGCUGGGCGCUGUGGCUCACGCCUGUAAUCCCAGCGCUUUGGGACGCCGAGGCGAGUGGAUCACCUGAGGUCAGGAGUUCAAGACCAGUCUGGCCAACAUGGUGAAAGCUCGGC
rnacentral:lncRNA from 1 species